GGUGGUGCAAUCAUACCUCACUGCAGCCUUGAACUCCUGGGCUCAAGGAAUCCUCCUGUUUCAACCUUCAGAGUAGCUAGAAAUACAGGCACAAGUUCGAGCUGGGCUAAAAGGGAUUAAAGAGACCAUACCUACCCCAACAGAUCUACCUAUCAUGGGAAGAGAAGGAACUGACGGAGUGAUUUUGCCUGAUGUCAUCAGACCAGAGAGCCAGACCCUCCAGCUGAUGGUACUGGAAGAAAACACCCAGUAUGCAGUGAGCACCGUUGGGGAUGUCUUGACACUGAGACAGCUGAUUUUCUAUCGUGGAAUGGCUCUGGCUCUUGCUGUUGUGGUCCUUUUAGCAGGAAUUUUCAUAAGAGUUUUCAAUGACCGUGGCUAAAAUGGAAGACUUAUUACUACUCUACAAACUAGAAAUGAUAAUUGUAUGCCAUAUAUUAAGUAUCACAGGUGACCUUAUUAUUUGGACGGUGGUUUUCCUCUCAGUUGUACACGGAAAUGGUAUCAGGGAUGUUUCCUUGGUUAUUCUGAGAAACUGCACUAUCCUCAUGGACAUGAAGAAAAGAGCUAUAAUUUUUAAGUAAACUUUUCUCUGUUCGCUC